UUCGUCAAGCCUCGAAUCUCCGCUAUGGACUCUUCCACGUUGCAGAGUGGUUGUGUAGGCAAUUCAAGCUCAACACCAUCAUUUCCAUCUAUUGAGAUGACUGCCGGUUUACAUGUCAUUAACUUGAUUUGGAGGAGCUUCAGAGAGAGAAUGUUUUUGUCCAAGGUUUUGAGGCAGCAAGAAACAUACCAAGUAACACCACUGCCUAGACUAGUGUUUAGCAGUCUAGCACUCUCCCGGCCUCGCAGCAUCACUCUUUCCCUGUUAAUUUGGACUUUUGUGUUUUCAUUGGACAUGUGUUGUUUAAUUUUCUGUAUAAGAUUUUGGACGUUGUUGGCUUGUUGCAUUUGAACUUUUGAACUUUUGAUCUUGCUUGUUUAUGGCUUUAUG